GAUGAACGCUGGCGGCGUGCCUAAUACAUGCAAGUCGAGCGAACGGACGAGAAGCUUGCUUCUCUGAUGUUAGCGGCGGACGGGUGAGUAACACGUGGAUAACCUACCUAUAAGACUGGGAUAACUUCGGGAAACCGUAGCUAAUACCGGAUAAUAUUUUGAACCGCAUGGUUCAAAAGUGAAAGACGGUCUUGCUGUCACUUAUAGAUGGAUCCGCGCUGCAUUAGCUAGUUGGUAAGGUAACGGCUUACCAAGGCAACGAUGCAUAGCCGACCUGAGAGGGGGAUCGCCAACAGUGGGGCUGACACGGGGCCGCGACCCCGACGGGAGGAGGCAGGUGGCAAUCUACGGUAGGGGGCUAAGGCCGGACGGGGCGGCCCGGGGCGUGUGAUAAAGCCUUAGGAAGCUUAAAUCUCUAUAUUCGGGAAGGAACAUGUGUGAAGGAAGGUAUGCGCAUCUUCACGGCCCCAAAUCAAAAACCCACGCCUAACCCCGUC
rnacentral:rRNA from 1 species